rnacentral:lncRNA from 1 species
GGGAUCAGGGUUCGGAGCUCCCCCUUCCAGCUUCGCCGGCCGAUCUGCAACCUCCAGUUCCCGCUCCGCCGACCGACUCGCUACCCGGCUCGGAGGGUGCCCCGCUGGAGAUCGAGGCUGGGCGCCCUUCGAAGAAGGCGAAGAUGACUCCGCCGAAGGGGUCCGAGGCGAGCUCUCACCGCGGAGGGGCGGGCCCCAGUCGACGGAGGCCCGGGAGGGGUCUUCACCCUGUGUCUGUGCGCGACCUCUGCCGGCUUCCUGCCAGAGACGGGGUGCCGUACCUAACGCGGCUGGCGAGCGAGCUCCUGCCCGGUGAGCUCAGCGACCCCCUGGUUCCCCGCUGGGAGGGCUUGUCUCGGGGGUCUAAGAUAUGGGCCGGAGGGG